rnacentral:rRNA from 1 species
CAGUUGGAAACGACUGCUAAUACCGCAUACGCCCUACGGGGGAAAGGAGGGGACCUUCGGGCCUUUCGCGAUUGGAUGAACCUAGGUGGGAUUAGCUAGUUGGUGGGGUAAUGGCUCACCAAGGCGACGAUCCCUAGCUGUUCUGAGAGGAUGAUCAGCCACACUGGGACUGAGACACGGCCCAGACUCCUACGGGAGGCAGCAGUGGGGAAUAUUGCACAAUGGGGGAAACCCUGAUGCAGCCAUGCCGCGUGUGUGAAGAAGGCCUUCGGGUUGUAAAGCACUUUCAGUAGGGAGGAAAGGGUGUAGCUUAAUACGCUAUAUCUGUGACGUUACCUACAGAAGAAGGACCGGCUAACUCCGUGCCAGCAGCCGCGGUA